rnacentral:rRNA from 1 species
UACGAAGGGAGCUAGCGUUGUUCGGAAUCACUGGGCGUAAAGCGCACGUAGGCGGAUGUGUCAGUCAGGGGUGAAAUCCCGGAGCUCAACUUCGGAACUGCCCUUGAUACAGCACAUCUGGAGUCCGGAAGAGGUGGGUGGAAUUCCUAGUGUAGAGGUGAAAUUCGUAGAUAUUAGGAAGAACACCGGUGGCGAAGGCGGCCCACUGGUCCGGUACUGACGCUGAGGUGCGAAAGCGUGGGGAGGCAAACAG